UGACGUUGAUAGGCCGGGUGUGUAAGCGCAGCGAUGCGUUGAGCUAACCGGUACUAAUGAACCGUGAGGCUUAACCUU
rnacentral:rRNA from 1 species